rnacentral:rRNA from 1 species
UACGAAGGGGGCUAGCGUUGUCCGGAAUUACUGGGCGUAAAGCGCACGUAGGCGGUUAUUUAAGUCAGGUGUGAAAUCCCGGGGCUCAACCCCGGAACUGCCUUUGAUACUGGGUAUCUCGAGUCCGAGAGAGGUGAGUGGAAUUCCGAGUGUAGAGGUGAAAUUCGUAGAUAUUCGGAGGAACACCAGUGGCGAAGGCGGCUCACUGGCUCAUACUGGACGCUGAGGUGCGAAAGCGUGGGGAGCAAACAGG